rnacentral:rRNA from 1 species
CAGCCGCCGCGGUAAUACCGGCGGCCCGAGUGGCGGUCACUAUUAUUGGGCUUAAAGCGUCCGUAGCCGGGUUGGGAAGUCCUCCGGGAAAUCUGGCCGCUUAACGGUCAGAAUGCCGGAGGAUACUCCCAGCCUAGGGAGCGGGGGAGGCCGAGGGGAUUCCCGGGGUAGGGGUGAAAUCCUAUAAUCCCGGGAGGACCGCCUGUGGCGAAGGCGCUCGGCUGGAACGCGUCCGACGGUGAGGGACGAAGGCCAGGGGAGCAAACCGGAUUAGAUACCCGGGUAGUCCUGGCUGUAAACGAUGCGGACUUUGUGUCGGACAAGCUAUGAGCUUGUCCGGUGCCGGAGGGAAACCGUUAAGUCCGCCGCCUGGGGAGUACGGCCGCAAGGCUGAAACUUAAAGGAAUUGGCGGG